rnacentral:lncRNA from 1 species
UUGGCCAUUCCUCCCAUCAUCCUUCAUUUCUUUUCUUUCUUUCUUUUUCUUGUUUGCUUACGUUAUUAGGGUGUAGCUUUCCCUUGAUCAUUUCUGACGUACCUUAUCGAGAUACAAUCCUUCAUUUUCUACCACUAGCUACCUCCUCCUCUUCGGGAGGACACGUUUUAUCAUUUAGGACUGCGCACCUUCCUCGUUCCCGAUCAUCCCAGAAUAAGGCAUGUGUCUACCUUAAGGACUGUGAGAGUUUUUACUAGCUCAUCCUCACUGCCUCUCUAGGGUAUAAUCUUUCUAUCCAGUAGAGUCGACGAAAUCAUUUCAAAGGCUAACAAAUACACGCAGAUUCCUUACCUGGUCCCUACUCAAUAAAGUUCCUUCUAAUAAAGAGUCUGGUCUGUUCUGGGAAAGAGACCCAACCAAUGUCACUCGAUUUUCUGUUUCUUUCCUUCAGACUGGGAUUCCCAGCCUGUAAACUGAAAAAUAUAUAAGAUUUUUCCUAUAUAAUUCAUUACAUUUUUACUUAAAUUUGUUGUUAAAACCAAGUAAUUGUUUAAUAAAUUAAUGAAAUAUACGAAAAUAUGAAAUUGGGACAUAAAAAUUAUUAAAAUGUGAUUUUAUACUUUAUUAUAUAGUUUUCAUGCAUAAAAUGGCUUAUUUUAUAUUAAUUUGAGCAUAUUAUAUUUUUAAGCUAUAAAGUAGGCCAUGCAUGAUUAAAUUAAAUAAUAAAAUAUAAAGUUAUAUUUAAUAAUUCAUUUUUAAUAUUUAAUUAAUAAAUUGGGUUUUAAUUAAUUAAGUAAAUUGAUUAAUUAAAGUGGUUAAAUUAUAUUAUUUGGUCCUCUAAACUAUCUACUAUUUUUGGACAGGUCUGAGAGUUUUCUUCUAAUUGCAAAACAGUCCAAAUUGGGGACCAAGUCAACCCAAUUUUCGGCUGCACAUGGGUGUCAUAAACCCUUUUUUGGUUUAAUUAUAUAAAGCCCUUGAAGAUUUAAAGAAAUCAGAGAUUUCCCCGAAGAUUUGCUGAUGAUCGAGUUUUAGUCCUGAGUUGUUGUGACACUCAAAUUGACCAAAAAUCAAGGAAAAAUCAGCCAACUUUCCUCAAUUCAUGGCCGACCACUCUUGGAGGAAGUUUCAAAGGAUGGACACUCCUAUUUUUAGCAAACUAGCUCCCUUGCCUCACCUAUAAAUAAAAGCUCAUUUCUCACUUUUUCAAUCAUCCCUCAUCCCACCAUCUCUCACUCAUUUAUCAUUCUCUCAACUCUUUUAGCUAUCUUUCCCAUCCAUCAUCCUUGCAUAAGGAUUUUAGCAGUUAAGCCUCUUAAAGAACCCUUGGUCGGCCACCUUGUAGAGCCAUCAGUAAAGGAGUAACGCAAAGAAGCGAAUGAGCCUCGUCAGUCAGAGUCUUGGGUGACAGCCACUCUGAAUUAGGUUUAAUCUUUCUUUUCUUUAAAUUUAAUUUAAAGAUGUUUUCUAUGUGUUCUUUGUUCUUGUUUACAACAAUGAUAGCUUAAUUUUAUUUAAGCUAGGAUGAUUAUUUUGAUUAAAUAAUAUUUAUUUGAUUCAUGCUUAUAAUGUUUGUGCCUCAAUCGAUCAUGUUUUCAAUUAAAAUC